CGCAUGGAGCGAGUGGAGUCUUGUGCCUUUUAUUAACCACUGAAACAAAAACUAAGUUGACAACAAAAAGAAGUCGACUGGGGACUUUAAACCCCAUUGCUCUCCACCUAGAGCUUUUCCUUGAAGUCCACAGGGGGCAUCAGGCGAUGAUAACCAAACUGUUCAGCAGUGACUCAGAAAACGAAGCCAGAAGCCUAGGCUAUUUUGAUGGUGAAAUCUGAAGUGGAAUCCUUCACUCAAUGCUAUUUAUCAAGCGCCUAUAAAGCACAAGACUGACAGUAAUUGCUUAUGAACAGUGGGAAUCAAGACAGAACAAGGAUCUAGCAGCUCAGCAAUGAGUAGCAAGACACCAGCCAGGCAGGAGCCAAG